rnacentral:lncRNA from 1 species
AGGUGGAAGCCAAGGGGGCGUGGCGAUUGGUCAACAAAGAUGGAGGCCAGCAGGUCAUGGAGACCAAGCAACAAAGAUGGUGGCCAACGCAAGGCGGUGAUUGGUCAACGAAGGUGGAGGCCAGCAGGUCAUGGAGACCAAGCAACCAGGAUGGUGGCCAAGGGGACGCAGUGAUUGGUCAACGAAGGUGGAGGCCAGCAGGUCAUGGAGACCAAGCAACCAGGAUGGUGGCCAAGGGGACGCAGUGAUUGGUCAACGAAGGUGGAGGCCAACAGGUCAUGGACACCGAGCAACAAAGAUGGCGGCCAAGGGGACGCGGUGAUUGCUCAAGAUGAUGGUGGCCAGCAGGUCCCGGACACUGAGCAACCAAGAUGGCAGCUGAGGGGAUGCAGUGAUUGCUCAACGAAGACGGCACUCAAAGCAAUGCGCUGAUUGGUCAAUGAAGACGGUAGCUAAAGAGAUGUCACGAUUGGUCAACAAACAUGGAGACCAGCAGAUCCUGGAGACCGAGCAACAAAGAUGGAGGCUGAACGGAGCAUAGUAAUUGGUCAACAAAGAUGGUGGCCAGCAGGUCCCGGGGAUCGAGCGACCAAGAUGGAGGCCAAGGGGACAUGGCGACUGGUCAAUGAAGAUGGCGGCCAGCAGGUCCCGGAGACUGAGCAACAAAGACGGAGACCGAGGGGGCGCGGUGAUUGGUCAACGAAGACGGUGGCUGAGAGGACGUGCUGAUCGGUCAACAAAGACGGAGACUGAGGGGGACGCGGUGAUUGGUCAGCGAAGACGGCGGCCAACGGCUCGCGAAGAGCCAGCAGCGAAGGCGUCGGCCAAGGGAGCACGAAGAAAGGUCCGCGAAGGCGCCGGCCAGCGUUCGGCGGCGGGCGGGCGGUCACAUCUUCUUGAGGCGCUCCUCGAGGGCCUCCAGCUCGCCCAGCACCUCCUUGGGCAGGUCGGAGCCGAACUGCUCGUCGAAGUAGCGGCGCAGGUCCCGGGCCUCGCCCUCCCAA